ensembl:lncRNA
GCCAGGAAAAAGUUUUUUUAAGACUACAGUUUGCCCAAGAGCAUCUAGGGAAAGACCAGGCCUUUUGGAAUAACGUGCUCUGGACGGACGAAUCAAAAGUGAGAUUUAGAUCUGCGAUGGAUCGGCACCCUGUCCAGGGUGGACCCCGUCUUGUGCCCGAUGCGCCCUGGGAUAGGCUCCGGGUUCCCCGUGACCCUGAAGGAAGGAUAAGCGGUAUAGAAGACGGACGGAUGGGUAAUAUUUAGGACGGACUGUCGCUGAAUUAGGACGCAGAAUUAGGCUUCAAAAACGCACGAAGGGAGGAAAUGGCAGCAUGGUGAGCACUCAUACUGUAUACAGUCAUUGGGUACGAUGUUCACGCUAAAGAGUUUGUUAAUAAGCAUGCUGUUUGUAAAUUUCAUGAAUUAGUGGGAAUGGAUUAAUGAUCACCAAAUUAGUUUGAACUAAAACACACAUCUAAACACACACAUUUAAACGAGACAGGGUGUUGAAUUGUAAUCCAAUCUGCACGCUAUUAUCUGUGUGUGCGUGUGUGCAAGUGUGUGUGUGUGUGUGUGUGUGUUUGAGUCGUGCUGAAUCCUGCCAGAUCCUCCGAGGAGCUUUAAUCUGAGCCAAAUCCAAACAGAGCUGUCAUCACCUCGCUUCAGCAAAGCUGGGCAGAACCACCUGCUGCUCAGCACUUCCCGCCAGUGCCUGUGUGUGUGUGUGUGUGUGUGUGUGUGUGCGUGUGUGUGUGGGAAGGCUGAACGAACCUGAACGUUCUCCAAAUGAAAGGUCCAACUGUGUAGUUGCCAUGCAGAAAGGAAAGAAGCACUCAUCUAAUAAACACCCGCUGGUCCUGACCAAAUCCAAUAAAGUCCGGAACACAUAAACACACACACACACACACACACACACACACACACACACACACACACACACACAGUGAGAGAAGCGAACGUGGUUCCUUAGCAACUCUAAAAAGCUGACAGGAUUGAUGCUAUUUGUGGACGGUCUUUUAAUCACACUUUUUCUCCGGAAACUUCUACGGUAUAAAUUCUGAAUAAAAUUCUGAGAUGUGACAGUAAUAUCAGUCUUUCAGCUUUCGUUUCCUGAUAGUCACAUCAAGACGUGUCAAACAACUUAGAACAUGACACCUUUUGUGUUUGAACCCACUCUUCUGCUGUUUUCUCAAGUGAUCAAAAAUAUCGGAACACGUGACUGAUCGGUGUUUGCUGCUGCCCAGGUGGGACUUUUUAAAUCGAUCGUUUGGAGAAUGAACAGCUCUGAACGUCUAAUCUCGGUUUGAGUCCCGGGUUUUUGCCUGUGAAGACUGUAAUUCCUGUUUAAAAAGGAUAAACCGACAUGAAGAUCAGAGAGCUGUCCAUGGGAGAAAAGCAAGCCGAGACAAAUCAGUCAGAGGAAUUGCACAAACCUUAGGCCUAGCCAAUACAGCGAUUUGUCCCGAAAAAGAAAGAAACCACCGGUGUACUGGGUCGGCCAUUGUGGGAGCUGGGAAGAAAAACCCAAAAACAAUCAUCAGUGACAUCACCAACAACCUCCACAGGGCAGGGGUGAAGGUAUCACAACCCACCCUCCGAAGAAGACUUCGAGAGCAGAAAUACAGAGGCCGUAACACAAGAUCCAAACGGCUCAUCAGCGGUAAGAAUCGGAAAGCCCGAUCGGAAUUCACGAAGACGUACAGAGACGAGCCGCAAGAAGUUCUGGAACCGACAUGAACCUUCACCAAAGCGAUGGAAAGACCAAAGUGCGGAGAAAGAAAAGAUCUGCUCACGAGCUGAUCUGUGAAACAUGGUGGAGGUAGCGUCGUGGCUUCUGGAACAUUCUCACGCAUCUUUAUUGAUGACGGAACUCAUGAUGGAAGCAGCAGAACGAACCGGGUUUUAGACCGGCCAAGUCAGUCACCAGACCUUAACCCAGUGGACUGAAGGGAGAACUUUUCCUUUUCAUCUUUUUAUUCGACUCGACUUCUUUUUUUUUCCUCUCAUUUCUCUCUGCUUCUCCACUGCACUCGUCUUUUAUUCCUCUUCUCUUCUCCUGAACCUUUGAUCUUUUCUCUUUAACUCUCACUUUUCAUUUCUCAUCUCUGUUCUUAUGUUCUUUCUUUUUAUUGUCUUCUCUAAUCCAUUUUCAAAAUGAGCGCUUAUCUCGCCUUUCUGCUCUUCUCCUCUCUCACCUUUUGUUUUUUUUUUCUCUUCUCUUCCCUUCUCCCGUCCCUGCCCACCUCUUUCCUUUCUAUUUUCCUCUUUUCUCUCACCGUUUAGUCUGCUUCUCUUUCACCUCAACUCUCCUCUCCUCAUUUUUCCUUUAUUUCUCACCUUUCUCUCAUUCAUUCUUUCUCUCAUUAAGUCCCUUUCUCUUGUCCUUGUUUAUCGCCUUUAUCGUUCUUUUUCUCUUUUGCAUCUCUGUAUUCUCUCCUUUCCUCUUCUCCACUCUCACAUUCCGUAUUUUUCUGUUUUCCUUCUCUCUCGUGUCACCUGAACUCUCGCCUUUCUUUCUUUCUUUGUCUUUUUUUCUUCUCUUUCCUCUCCUGUUCUCCACUCCUCCACCUCUAAUCUUUCUUGUUAAACUUCCAUUUUUGUUUUUUUUUUGGUUUUUUUUCCCUCUCAUUUCCUUUCUUUUUCUUAGCUUUAUUAGUCUCUUUCUUUCCCUGUUUCCACUCCACUCCUCCACCUUUCCGUUCUUCACUCUUCUGUCAUUUUUGGUCUUUUACAUCUCUCCUCUCUCCUGAUGUCUACUCUUUAGUCUCUCUUCUUCCGUUUUCUUUCGUUUAUCUUCUCUCUUUUUCCCCCCCAUUUCUUCCCUCAUCACUUUAUUCUCCUCAUUUCUCAGAUGUUUUCUUUAUUCUUCUCUCCUAUAGUCAGUUUCUUUCUUUCUUUUUCGUUUGUUUACCUCGCCUGUUUCCUCUUCUUUCGAUCCUCAUUUUAUUCUCCUCAUUUCUCUGAUUUUAUUUAUUUUUAUUUUCUUCUCUAUGCAAACUCCAUCAGCGUCUUUUUCCUCUUUCCCCCAUCUCUCUCUCCC